rnacentral:misc_RNA from 1 species
AACUUCUCAACCACAUCAUUUGAUGUAUGUGGCUUGGACUUGGGGGUUGUUUGCAGGCUUUCACAAAGGUCGGCUCCCCUGAAAUGUAUUAGUGGUAUCUGGGCUCCAUUACCUUUGGUGUGAUAAUUAUCUAUGCCUUUGGUAUACUGCAUGAACAGAUUGUGCUGCUUUAAGAUGAAUUAUUUUUUUCUUGAUGA